ensembl:lncRNA
CUCUUCCUCCAGAGGAGAGGUCGGGCUCAGGAAAUAUCCAUCCCCAAAACGACAGAGCAGGGACAGUUCCCAGCCCAGAGGGACAGGCUCGGUCGGAGUUGAGGAUGCCAUUGUGGAGAAGGAGACGCAUGUGGACAGAGAAUGGCUCUGGAGCUGUGGAGCCUGGUGCAGGAUCUGACUCAGAGACACUCCAUAAACCUUUCUCAAAGAAUAUAUGAAUGCGGCGUGAAAGUGAAGCUGCUGUUUCUGCAGCACAAGGCUGUGGUGAGGAGUCCAUGAAGAGGGGCCCACCAGGCCUCAGGGGCCACUCAUGCCAGGAAGGGGCAGUCAUCCUAGGAGGAGUGGUGCUAUCAGAAGCUACCUCAGGAGAAGAAGCUGAGGCAGGCUGUCCCUGGAGGGCAAGGUCCAAUGCCGGAGACACAAGGUUCAUCAGGGACUUUGCACUUGCCAGACAAGCACUGUGCCGCUAAGCUACAUCCUUGGCCCUUCAUCCAGGCCAGCGUCUCAGGCAUGCAACCCAGGC